rnacentral:RNase_P_RNA from 1 species
AGCAGACUGAACAGUCGCGUGUGCAAAGCCGAAAGGCUGUAUGCGAGGAAAGUCCGGGCUUCGCAGGGCAGAAUAACGGUUAACGACCGCCGGGGGUGACCCUAGGGAAAGUGCAACAGAGAUAUACCGCCGAUUAUUCGGUAAGGGUGGAAAGGCGAGGUAAGAGCUCACCGGCAUAAGCGAGAGUUUAUGACCCUGUAAACCCUAUUCGAAGCAACACCGUGGCUGGACGAUACGCUUGCCCGGCGUGUCCAAUGGAGGUGGCACUGAGCAGAUUCGGUAACGAUCUGCCAAGAUAGAUGACUGUUUACAACAGAACCCGGCUUAUAGGUCUGGUCA